UACGUAGGGUGCAAGCGUUGUCCGGAAUUAUUGGGCGUAAAGAGCUCGUAGGCGGUCUGUCGCGUCGGAUGUGAAAAUCCAGGGCUCAACCCUGGACCUGCAUUGAUACGGGCAGACUAGAGUUCGGUAGGGGAGACUGGAAUUCCUGGUGUAGCGGUGAAAUGCGCAGAUAUCAGGAGGAACACCGGUGGCGAAGGCGGGUCUCUGGGCCACUACUGACGCUGAGAAGCGAAAGCAUGGGGAGCGAACAGG
rnacentral:rRNA from 1 species